GGGCGCUCCCCGCACGCGCCGCUUCCCCCCCGCCCCGCUCUCUCCUCCGCCGCCGCGCGGGGCGCUGGGAGCCCCGCGCCGCUGACGUCACCCCGCGCGGCGCUGACGUCACCCCCCCGCUCCCGCCCGCGAUCCCGCCCGCGAUCCCGCGGGGAAUGUCCGCUGUGCCCGCGGGAUGGAGCCGCCGCACCGACCCGCCGCCUUAGCUGUGGAUCCCGGGAGCUGUCCUGGAAGCAGGAGGGAAGCCACGAGGUGGCAGUGCGCCCCAGGAAAUGGAGCGCUGCCGCCUGCCCGGCACUCCAGAGAGCAGGAAUUCAGCCCGGAGAUCCGGCUGCGGGGACACUUGGCCUCUUACAGGAGCUGAGGCACGUCUGGGCGUCGUCACUCUGAGCUGAAUUAGACCUGUCUGAGCUUUCACCGUCCUGUCACAGAAGAGGCAAAGGAGGCAACAGGGCUCAGAGCGAGUGGCUCCAGGUGUCAACUGAGCAAACUCAGGAUCAGCUGCAGCUCUUCCAGAGCGCGUGUCCAUGUGCAGAAUAUUCCGGAACAGGCCUCCUCCGCAUCAGUCAUCAGCUUCAAUUACCAGUUUUCCGGAGCCGAGCCAUCAGGCAGUCUGACACGAGGGUCCAACCUAAUUCCCACCUUCUCCAAAGUCAAGAGCAUAAUGUGCAGAUGAAAAGGUGGAAAAUAGCCUGGACUUCAUUAGCAUGCAGAGCCCGGCUGUUCAUUUGCUUGCUGCGAAUGGAAGUUCUGACACUCGGCGCCUUCUGCAAUAUGAGAAAAGUCCUCUUCAGAGUAUAUGAUGUCCUCACCAGCCAGCAAAGGUCAUCAAAAAGGCAGGCGCUGACCUUGCUCCCUGCUCUUCAUGACUAGUUUAUUGAUUCCAGGAACACCUCAUUACAUGCCGGAUCAACAUAUUAUUGCCAUGUUCAGCGGCUGAAUUGUUUACAAGUGUCUUUAUAACCAGCAGAAAGCCUUCCGGAUGAUGCAUGACUACACUCAUUUGGAUGUGACCUGCCAAUUAGAUGUUAUCCGAUACGGUGCCGCGUGUCUUGAUCCCUGACCGGGCCCGCUGCCCCGCAUCGGCACGGGCCCAUUUACUACUUCUUUCUAACGGCUCUUUGGGAAAGUGUCCAUUAGCCUGUCAGUCUGUAAAUAUUUUAUUUUUGUGCCUCGGCGCCGCCGGGCGCUCCCGCUCCGUCAUUUGCUAUGCAUGAGGUUCAUAAUCAGCCCGGGGGGGAAGGGGGGGGGUGUUUUAUGGCGGCGGCUGAUAACCCGCCCCAUUUGCAGUCAGCGGCGCUCCCGAGCCGCGUGCCGGCCCCGCACACACACACCCGGCAUAUUUUAUCCAGGCGCCGGCACCGCCGGGCUGCUGAUUUAUCAGCGGGGGGAAGGCAGGGGUGAACCCCCCCCAUCCCCAUCCCCAGCCUGCCUUCCCCUGCCUCUAAAGGCCAAAUAACUUACCACCCAGCACUUCCCCCUGCCCCGUCCUCUGGGUGGUUUGGUUCCCCUCCGUUGAUACACGGCCCGGUUCCUCAUCCCGGCCCGUGGCCGGGCAGCUCGGGGCGUUUACACGAGAAUUUCACAAAUAAAU